AGAGUUUGAUCAUGGCUCAGGAUGAACGCUAGCGGCAGGCUUAAUACAUGCAAGUUGAACGGGAUUCGAGUAGCAAUACUUGAUGAGAGUGGCGCACGGGUGCGUAACACGUAUGCAACCUACCUUUAACUGGCGAAUAGCCCCGGGAAAUCGGGAUUAAUACGCCAUAAGAUCACGAAAGGGCAUCCUUUAGUAAUUAAAGAACUUCGGUUAGAGAUGGGCAUGCGGGACAUUAGCUAGUUGGUGAGGUAACGGCUCACCAAGGCAACGAUGUCUAGGGGUCCUGAGAGGGUUAUCCCCCACACUGGUACUGAGACACGGACCAGACUCCUACGGGAGGCAGCAGUAAGGAAUAUUGGUCAAUGGGCGCAAGCCUGAACCAGCCAUGCCGCGUGCAGGAAGACGGCCCUAUGGGUUGUAAACUGCUUUUGUCAGGGAAUAAAUGAUGGUACGUGUACUGUCUUGAAGGUACCUGAAGAAUAAGCAUCGGCUAACUCCGUGCCAGCAGCCGCGGUAAUACGGAGGAUGCAAGCGUUAUCCGGAUUCAUUGGGUUUAAAGGGUGCGCAGGCGGAUUGGUAAGUCAGGGGUGAAAUCCCACAGCUCAACUGUGGAACUGCCUUUGAUACUGUCAGUCUAGAGUAUAGUUGAAGUUGGCGGAAUGUGUCAUGUAGCGGUGAAAUGCUUAGAUAUGACACAGAACACCGAUCGCGAAGGCAGCUAGCUAAGCUAUAACUGACGCUCAUGCACGAAAGCGUGGGGAUCAAACAGGAUUAGAUACCCUGGUAGUCCACGCUGUAAACGAUGAUUACUCGAUGUUGGCGAUACACAGUCAGCGUCUGAGCGAAAGCUAUAAGUAAUCCACCUGGGGAGUACGAUCGCAAGAUUGAAACUCAAAUGAAUUGACGG
rnacentral:rRNA from 1 species